AACGAACGCUGGCGGCAGGCCUAACACAUGCAAGUCGAACGCCGUAGCAAUACGGAGUGGCAGACGGGUGAGUAACGCGUGGGAACCUUCCCAGUGGUACGGAAUAACUCAGGGAAACUUGAGCUAAUACCGUAUACGCCCCUCGGGGGAAAGAUUUAUCGCCAUUGGAUGGGCCCGCGUCGGAUUAGCUAGUUGGUGAGGUAACGGCUCACCAAGGCGACGAUCCGUAGCUGGUCUGAGAGGAUGAUCAGCCACACUGGGACUGAGACACGGCCCAGACUCCUACGGGAGGCAGCAGUGGGGAAUAUUGGACAAUGGGCGCAAGCCUGAUCCAGCCAUGCCGCGUGAGUGAUGAAGGCCUUAGGGUUGUAGAGCUCUUUUGUCCGGGAAGAUAAUGACUGUACCGGAAGAAUAAGCCCCGGCUAACUUCGUGCCAGCCGCCGCCGUAAAAC
rnacentral:rRNA from 1 species